AUUGAACGCUGGCGGCAUGCCUUACACAUGCAAGUCGAACGGCAGCAUGAUCUAGCUUGCUAGAUUGAUGGCGAGUGGCGAACGGGUGAGUAAUACAUCGGAACGUGCCCUGUAGUGGGGGAUAACUAGUCGAAAGAUUAGCUAAUACCGCAUACGACCUGAGGGUGAAAGUGGGGGACCGCAAGGCCUCAUGCUAUAGGAGCGGCCGAUGUCUGAUUAGCUAGUUGGUGAGGUAAAGGCUCACCAAGGCGACGAUCAGUAGCUGGUCUGAGAGGACGAUCAGCCACACUGGGACUGAGACACGGCCCAGACUCCUACGGGAGGCAGCAGUGGGGAAUUUUGGACAAUGGGCGAAAGCCUGAUCCAGCAAUGCCGCGUGUGUGAAGAAGGCCUUCGGGUUGUAAAGCACUUUUGUCCGGAAAGAAAUGGCUCUGGUUAAUACCUGGGGUCGAUGACGGUACCGGAAGAAUAAGGACCGGCUAACUACG
rnacentral:rRNA from 1 species